UACGUAGGGUGCAAGCGUUAUCCGGAAUUAUUGGGCGUAAAGAGCUCGUAGGCGGUUUGUCGCGUCUGCUGUGAAAACUGGAGGCUCAACCUCCAGCCUGCAGUGGGUACGGGCAAACUAGAGUGCGGUAGGGGAGGUUGGAAUUCCUGGUGUAGCGGUGGAAUGCGCAGAUAUCAGGAGGAACACCGAUGGCGAAGGCAGAUCUCUGGGCCGUAACUGACGCUGAGGAGCGAAAGCAUGGGGAGCGAACAGG
rnacentral:rRNA from 1 species